rnacentral:rRNA from 1 species
CCUACGGGAGGCAGCAGUGAGGAAUAUUGGUCAAUGGGCGCGAGCCUGAACCAGCCAAGUAGCGUGAAGGAUGACUGCCCUACGGGUUGUAAACUGCUUUUAUAAAGGAAUAAAGUGAGGCACGGGUGACUUUGUGGAUGUAAGUGAGGAAUAAGGAUCGGCUAACUCCGGGCCAGCAGCAGCGGUAAUACGGAGGAUCCGAGCGUGAUCCGGAUUUAUUGGGGUUAAAGGGAGCGUAGAUGGGUUGGUUAGUCAGUUGUGAAAGUUUGCGGCUCAACCGUCAAAUUGCAAUUGAUACUGGCAGCCUUGAGUACAGUUGCGGUAGGCGGAAUUCGUGGUGUAGCGGUGAACUGCUUAGAUAUCACG